CCUGCUUGCAGGGGUACUCGAGUGGCGAACGGGUGAGUAACACGUGGGUGAUCUGCCUUGUACUUCGGGAUAAGCCUGGGAAACUGGGUCUAAUACCGGAUAGGACCAUGCUUUAGUGUGUGUGGUGGAAAGUUUUUUCGGUACAAGAUGAGCCCGCGGCCUAUCAGCUUGUUGGUGGGGUAAUGGCCUACCAAGGCGACGACGGGUAGCCGGCCUGAGAGGGUGUACGGCCACAUUGGGACUGAGACACGGCCCAGACUCCUACGGGAGGCAGCAGUGGGGAAUAUUGCACAAUGGGCGCAAGCCUGAUGCAGCGACGCCGCGUGAGGGAUGACGGCCUUCGGGUUGUAAACCUCUUUCGCUAGGGAAGAAGCCACUUGUGGUGACGGUACCUGGAUAAGAAGCACCGGCUAACUACGUGCCAGCAGCCGCGGUAAUACGUAGGGUGCAAGCGUUGUCCGGAAUUACUGGGCGUAAAGAGCUCGUAGGUGGUUUGUCGCGUCGUCUGUGAAAUCCCGGGGCUUAACUCCGGGCGUGCAGGCGAUACGGGCAUAACUGGAGUGCUGUAGGGGAGACUGGAAUUCCUGGUGUAGCGGUGAAAUGCGCAGAUAUCAGGAGGAACACCGAUGGCGAAGGCAGGUCUCUGGGCAGUAACUGACGCUGAGGAGCGAAAGCAUGGGUAGCGAACAGGAUUAGAUACCCUGGUAGUCCAUGCCGUAAACGGUGGGCGCUAGGUGUGGGGAUCUUUCUACGAUUUCCGUGCCGUAGCUAACGCAUUAAGCGCCCCGC
rnacentral:rRNA from 1 species